rnacentral:misc_RNA from 1 species
UUUCCGUAGGUGAACCUGCGGAAGGAUCAUUAAAAAAUUGGACUCCAUUGGUGAGUUCAUUAAUAAUCCCUACCCUUUGUGAAUUUGUUUGUUUGAAUAAUUUUUUUUCCAAAAAAAAUUAUUGAAUGUCUUUCCUUGUUUUGGUGGAGCUUGUAGAGUGAAACCAGGCAGGGGAAUGGCAAACAAUAAUUAUUUUUGAAAAAGACCUUUUUUUAAAAUUAAACUUUUUGUAUUCAUUUGUCUAAAAUUAAUUUUUAUAAUAUAAAAACAACUUUUGACAAUGGAUCUCUUGGUUCUCGCAACGAUGAAGAACGCAGCAAAAUGCGAUAAGUAGUGUGAAUUGCAGAAUACGUGAAUCAUCGAAUCUUCGAACGCAUAUUGCACUUUUUUAGUUUACUAAAAAAGUAUGUCUGUUUGAGUAUCAGUAAAAUAUUCUCAUAAAAAACAUUGUUUUUUUUAUGGUUAUGAGUGUUUUACAACGAUAACAAGUUGUUUCACUUUAAAUUCUUUGUUAUCAAAAAAAUCAUUAAAAGCUAAUUUUAAAGAUUUUUUAAAAUUGGAUAAAAUUUUCCCGUAAAAAGGAAUAACCUAAACAAUUUUAAAAAAUUAAAAUUGGUUUGAUUUUUUUGAAACCCAAAGGAAAAAAAAACGAAAUUAACUUGAUCUCAAAUCAGAUAAGAGUACCCGCUGAACUUAAGCAUAUCAAUAAGCGGAGGAAAAGAAACUAACUAGGAUUCCCUCAGUAACGGCGAGUGAAGCGGGAAGAGCUCAAAUUUGAAAUCUUCCAGGUUUUACCUUGACGAAUUGUAGUUUAAAGAAGUGUUUUCUGUUGGAGUUUUGGUAAAGUUCUUUGGAAAAGGACAUCAUAGAGGGUGAGAAUCCCGUAUUUGACCAUUAUCUCCAGCUUUGUGAUACACUUUCAAAGAGUCGGAUUGUUUGGGAAUGCAGUCCAAAAUGGGUAGUAAAUUUCAUCUAAAGCUAAAUACUGGCGAGAGACCGAUAGCGAACAAGUACCGUGAGGGAAAGAUGAAAAGAACUUUGAAAAGAGAGUUAAACAGUACGUGAAAUUGUCAAAAGGGAAGCGUUUGACACCAGUGUUGUUUUCUCGAAAAUCAAUUAAAAAAGGCCGGAUUUUGUGUUGUAUUGACUUUAUCAGCUUUCUGCACUCUUUUCUUGUCUUUUUUAAUGCACUUUUCGUUUAACAAGUCAACAUCAAUUUCUUUUGUUGUAAAAGGGUCAUUGGAAGGUGGCUUUCUUUUCGGAGAAAGUGUUUAUAGCCUUUGGCCUCUGCAAUCGGAGAGAUUGAGGUCUGCAGCGUAGAUCCUUCGGGGUUAGAUACAUUUGUGCUAAGUUAUAGCCUUUCAUAGACAACUUGUUGACUAUGAUCAGUCAUGUAGCUUACUCGCUUAUGCUAUUUUACCUACGCUUAGGAUGUUGAG